AAUCCAUAGGUUAAUGAGGCGAACCGGGGGAACUGAAACAUCUAAGUACCCCGAGGAAAAGAAAUCAACCGAGAUUCCCCCAGUAGCGGCGAGCGAACGGGGAGGAGCCCAGAGCCUGAAUCAGCAUGUGUGUUAGUGGAAGCGUCUGGAAAGGCGCGCGAUACAGGGUGACAGCCCCGUACACAAAAGCGCAUGUGCUGUGAGCUCGAUGAGUAGGGCGGGACACGUGGUAUCCUGUCUGAAUAUGGGGGGACCAUCCUCCAAGGCUAAAUACUCCUGACUGACCGAUAGUGAACCAGUACCGUGAGGGAAAGGCGAAAAGAACCCCGGCGAGGGGAGUGAAAAAGAACCUGAAACCGUGUACGUACAAGCAGUGGGAGCACAGGUUUACCUGUGUGACUGCGUACCUUUUGUAUAAUGGGUCAGCGACUUAUAUUCUGUAGCAAGGUUAACCGUAUAGGGGAGCCGGAGGGAAACCGAGUCUUAACCGGGCGUUAAGUUGCAGGGUAUAGACCCGAAACCCGGUGAUCUAGCCAUGGGCAGGUUGAAGGUUGGGUAACACUAACUGGAGGACCGAACCGACUAAUGUUGAAAAAUUAGCGGAUGACCUGUGGCUGGGGGUGAAAGGCCAAUCAAACCGGGAGAUAGCUGGUUCUCCCCGAAAGCUAUUUAGGUAGCGCCUCGUGAAUUCAUCUCCGGGGGUAGAGCACUGUUUCGGCUAGGGGGCCAUCCCGGCUUACCAACCCGAUGCAAACUGCGAAUACCGGAGAAUGUUAUCACGGGAGACACACGGCGGGUGCUAACGUCCGUCGUGAAGAGGGAAACAACCCAGACCGCCAGCUAAGGUCCCAAAGUCAUGGUUAAGUGGGAAACGAUGUGGGAAGGCCCAGACAGCCAGGAUGUUGGCUUAGAAGCAGCCAUCAUUUAAAGAAAGCGUAAUAGCUCACUGGUCGAGUCGGCCUGCGCGGAAGAUGUAACGGGGCUAAACCAUGCACCGAAGCUGCGGCAGCGACACUCAGGUGUUGUUGGGUAGGGGAGCGUUCUGUAAGCCUGUGAAGGUGGCCUGUGAGGGUUGCUGGAGG
rnacentral:rRNA from 1 species